GCUGGGGGUGUAGCCCAGUGGUAGACCUUGUGAUUAACAGGACAUAUAGCAUAGGACCUGGGUUCAAGGCCCAGUCCUCAGCA
rnacentral:tRNA from 1 species